rnacentral:rRNA from 1 species
UCCGUAGGCGGUUUAAUAAGUCAGUGGUGAAAUCUGGUCGCUCAACGAUCAAACGGCCAUUGAUACUGUUAGACUUGAAUUAUAAGGAAGUAACUAGAAUAUGUAGUGUAGCGGUGAAAUGCUUAGAUAUUACAUGGAAUACCAAUUGCGAAGGCAGGUUACUACUUAUGGAUUGACGCUGAUGGACGAAAGCGUGGGGAGCGAACAGGAUUAGAUACCCUGGUAGUCCACGCCGUAAACGAUGGAUACUAGCUGUUGGAAGCAAUUUCAGUGGCUAAGCGAAAGUGAUAAGUAUCCCACCUGGGGAGUACGUUCGCAAGAAUGAA